ACGACUACAGGUGAAUCAUCGAAUCUUUGAACGCAAUUUGCACCUCGUGGCACUUGUCACAAGGUAUACUUGUUUGAGUAUCCACAAAAUCUUACCUCCCCUUUGGGGCGUAAGUAGACCUGAGAUUCGAUUCACUUUCAAUAGUGAGUCGUCUCUUUAAAGAUAGGCCAGCAUAGAACGUCUCUGCUAGAUGUGGCUAUUGGGAUAACAUCCUAACAAUAGUCCAGGCAUUGAUACUUCUUGGUCAAAAAGAUCUGCAUGAUGGUUUUUCUUUCGGGAAGAAUUGCGAUAAGGAUAAUGAAUUAGCAAUAAUUUAACAAACUAUGGAUCUCAAAUCAAGUAGGGAUACCCGCUGAACUUAAGCAUAUCAAUAAGCGGAGG
rnacentral:rRNA from 1 species